rnacentral:ncRNA from 14 species
CACGUCAUGCAUGAAUGACAUGGCAGCCUUUCGUAGAUGCAGGGAAGACCGUGAGAAUCGGUCACAGUGGCGCUGCGGUAUCGGGUCACAAUUUCACAACAUGCGGUUCAGUGAUGAGCGGCAGGCAAAGUCAAUCGGUGGGUAACUGCCGGUGAAGGCGAGUGAAAAAGGCGAGGAGUCAUCCUCACAAACCCGGAGUCCGAAUAUCUCUCUCCGAAUGCUCACACCCG